AACGUUAUUGAAGAUCAAAUCAGGAGACAAAUUUCCGGGGUUUAUUUGGGAACUUAUUUGAAAGGUGAACUUUCAAUUGAAUUGAUUUAAUUUAAUAUAAUAAUUGACCAUUAAUUAUGUAAGAUUCUCAAUAGCAUAUUUAUAUAUGAUAUGUAGAUCAUACCCCAAAUCAAUAUACAGUUAUCAAACGUAAAUGCAUUUUAAUAUAGGAUGUCAUUAAAAAGGAGGGUCAUUCUUAUAUAAAAUCUCGCAAAAUUAUGACCCAUAUUUUUGGCACAUCCCCGUAUACCCAAUAAAAGGAAGUUACCCCCCCCCCCC
rnacentral:lncRNA from 1 species